GAUGAACGCUGGCGGCGUGCUUAACACAUGCAAGUCGAGCGAAGCACUUUGAAGUUUUCGGACAGAUAAGUGACUGAGCGGCGGACGGGUGAGUAACGCGUGGGUAACCUGCCUCACACAGGGGGAUAACAGUUAGAAAUGACUGCUAAUACCGCAUAAGACCACAGAGCUGCAUGGCUUAGGGGUCAAAGAUUUAUCGGUAGAGGGUGGGCUCGCGUCUGAUUAGGUAGUUGGUGAGGUAACGGCCCACCAAGCCGACGAUCAGUAGCCGACCUGAGAGGGUGAUCGGCCACAUUGGGACUGAGAUACGGCCCAGACUCCUACGGGAGGCAGCAGUGGGGAAUAUUGGGCAAUGGGGGAAACCCUGACCCAGCAACGCCGCGUGAGGGAAGAAGGCUUUCGGGUUGUAAACCUCUUUUACCAGGGACGAAGAACGUGACGGUACCUGGAGAAAAAGCAACGGCUAACUACGUG
rnacentral:rRNA from 1 species